AGAGUUUGAUCCUGGCUCAGAAUCAACGCUGGCGGCGCGCCUAACACAUGCAAGUCGAGCGAGAAAGGGAGCAAUCCUGAGUAAAGCGGCGCACGGGUGAGUAACACGUGGAUCAUCUGCCCUUUGGUGGGGAAUAACCUUGGGAAACCGAGGCUAAUACCGCAUAAGUUCGAGAGAAGAAAGCCGAAAGGCGCCGAAGGAGGAGUCCGCGGCCGAUUAGCUAGUUGGUGAGGUAAAUGCUCACCAAGGCGACGAUCGGUAGCCGGCCUGAGAGGGCACACGGCCACACUGGCACUGAAACACGGGCCAGACUCCUACGGGAGGCAGCAGUGGGGAAUCUUGCACAAUGGGGGAAACCCUGAUGCAGCGACGCCGCGUGAGCGAUGAAGCCCUUCGGGGUGUAAAGCUCUUUCGGCAGGGACGAUAAUGACGGUACCUGCAGAAGAAGCUGCGGCUAACUACGUGCCAGCAGCCGCGGUAAUACGUAGGCAGCAAGCGUUGUUCGGAAUUACUGGGCGUAAAGAGUGCGUAGGCGGUUUGGCAAGUUCGGUGUGAAAUCUCCCGGCUUAACUGGGAGGGUGCGCCGAAAACUGCCAGACUAGAGUGUGGGAGAGGGAAGUGGAAUUCCUGGUGUAGCGGUGAAAUGCGUAGAUAUCAGGAGGAACACCUGCGGUGUAGACGGCUUCCUGGACCACUACAGACGCUGAGGCACGAAAGCGUGGGGAGCAAACAGGAUUAGAUACCCUGGUAGUCCACGCCCUAAACGAUGCGGACUUGGUGUUGGCCCUUCAUUGGGCCAGUGCCGCAGCUAACGCGGUAAGUCCG
rnacentral:rRNA from 1 species